GUUUACAUAGUUUAAAAAAAACUUUACAUUUUCAUUGUAAAAAUAAAAUAUUUUUUUUUGUAAAUA
rnacentral:tRNA from 1 species